UACGGAGGGUGCGAGCGUUGUCCGGAAUCACUGGGCGUAAAGGGCGCGUAGGCGGCCUGAUAAGUAGGGGGUGAAAUCCUGCGGCUUAACCGCAGGGCUGCCUUCUAAACUGUCAGGCUAGAGCACAGUAGAGGCAGGUGGAAUUCCGGGUGUAGCGGUGGAAUGCGUAGAGAUCCGGAGGAAGACCGGUGGCGAAGGCGGCCUGCUGGGCAGAUACUGACACUGAGGCGCGACAGCGUGGGGAGCAAACAGG
rnacentral:rRNA from 1 species